AAACUUAUGUUGAGAUAAUGUGGUGGUGAAAGUAUGUUUGAUUUAUUAUAUCCGAAAUCAUAUUAUAAAAAUUGACUUAAAUGAUUUGAUUUAAUUUUUAGGAGCGAACGCGAUGGUCUUGAAGUUGUUAGAAAUCCAAAGAGGCCUAUCGGCGCUUGGAUACAUUACUAUAACGAUCAAUUAGCCAUGAUGAAAGAGAAGGAUAAAGGAGUGAAGAUAAAUGAUGAUUUGAGGAAAAAAUUGGGCAAGAAGUGGAAUGCACUUUCAAAAGUAGAAAAAGAAAAUUUC